AUUGAACGCUGGCGGCAGGCCUAACACAUGCAAGUCGAGCGAGCGGCGGACGGGUGAGUAAUGUAUGGGGCUUGCCCGAUAGAGGGGGUUAACUACUGGAAACGGUGGUUAAUACCGCAUACUAUCGGGUAAGCCCUAUGGGAUUCGCGAGUAGGUGGGGUAAAGGCUCACCUAGGCGACGAUCUCUCGUUGGGCUGAGAGGCUGGUCAGGCACACUGGGACUGUGAGACGGCCGAGACGCCUCCGGAGGCAGCAGUGGAGAAUAUUGCACAAAGGGCGCAAGGCUGAAGCGUCCGUGCCGGGUAUAUGAAGUAGGCCUUAGGGUUGUAAAGUACUUAAAGCGGGGAGGCGUUACCCGCAGAAGAAGCACCGGCUAACUCCGUGCCAGCCGCCGCGGUAAUAC
rnacentral:rRNA from 1 species